rnacentral:lncRNA from 1 species
UUAUUAAUCUUAACAAACUUAGCAUCUCAAACAAUAGGUUGUCUGGUAACAUCCCAUCCGCUCUUGGUCAGUGUGUGAUUCUUGAAUCUCUUGAGCUGCAAAGUAAUUUCCUUGAAGGGAUAAUUCCAGAAUCUUUUGCAAAAUUGCAAAGCAUCAAUAAAUUAGAUAUUUCUCAUAACAAGUUGUCUGGAAAAAUCCCAGAGUUCCUUGCGUCCUUCAAGUCUCUAAUUAAUCUUAAUUUAUCCUUCAACAAUUUUUAUGGACCACUUCCAAGUUUUGGUGUUUUUCUGGACACUAGUGUGAUCUCAAUUGAAGGAAAUGAUCGUUUAUGUGCAAGGGCACCAUUGAAAGGUAUACCUUUUUGUUCUGCAUUGGUGGACAGGGGAAGGGUGCACAGGUUAUUGGUUCUAGCUUUCAAAAUAGUUACACCAGUUGUUGUUGUUGUUAUCACCAUUUUGUGUUUUCUAAUGAUUCGUUCAAGGAAGAGAGUGCCUCAAAAUUCGAGGAAGUCAAUGCAACAAGAGCCGCACUUGCGACUAUUCAAUGGGGACAUGGAGAAGAUUACAUAUCAAGACAUUGUGAAGGCCACAAAUGGGUUUUCCUCCGCUAAUUUGAUUGGAUCAGGAUCAUUUGGAACGGUUUACAAGGGCAAUCUGGAAUUCCGACAAGAUCAAGUAGCCAUCAAGAUUUUUAACCUUAGCACAUACGGAGCACAUAGGAGCUUUGCUGCAGAGUGUGAAGCCCUAAAAAAUGUCCGCCAUAGAAAUCUUGUCAAAGUCAUCACUGUGUGCUCUUCAGUGGAUUCUACAGGGGCAGAAUUUAGGGCCUUGGUAUUUGAAUACAUCCAAAACGGGAACCUUCAAAUGUGGUUACAUCCAAAGGAACAUGAGCAUAGUCAAAGAAAUUUUCUGACAUUAUGCCAGAGGAUCAAUAUAGCUUUAGACAUAGCAUUUGCUCUGGAUUAUCUUCACAACCGUUGUGCAACUCCACUCGUACAUUGCGACUUGAAGCCAAGCAACAUUCUUUUAGGCCCUGACAUGGUUGCAUAUGUCAGUGAUUUCGGUCUAGCAAGAUUCAUAUGCACAAGAUCAAAUUCAGAUCAAGAUAGUUUAACAAGUUUGUAUUGCCUAAAAGGAUCAAUCGGAUACAUCCCACCAGGUGAGAUAGCUUUUUUAAAAUAAAGUUGUUCUUUUUUUGUUUUUCUUAGACCCAUGCAAAACAAUUUGCUGUGCCUAUUAUCUAAUUUUAUACUUAUUUUUAAUUUAACUGCAGAGUAUGGCAUGAGCGAAGAGAGAUCAACAAAGGGUGACGUCUAUAGUUUUGGAGUGCUUCUUCUGGAAAUGGUCACAAAUAUUAGUCCGACAGAAGAAAUAUUUAAUGACGGUACAAGCCUGCGUGAUCUUGUCGCUAGUAACUUUCCCAAAGAUACAUUCAAGGUUGUUGAUCCCACCAUGCUACAAGAUGAGAUCGAUGCAACUGAGGUGCUGCAGAGUUGCGUUAUUCUGUUGGUCAGAAUAGGACUCUCUUGCUCCAUGACUUCACCCAAACACCGAUGCGAAAUGGGACAAGUUUGUACUGAGAUCCUUGGAAUCAAGCAUGCGUUAUCAAAGAUAGAUGGUGAAUGAAGAGAAGAGAAACAUUUGCAUUGUUGGCGCGAGCACCAGUCCCUGCUACAACAGCUGUGAGCGCAAGGGGAAAGGUGACUCAGGAGCGAGCACAGCCUAGGAUGACGGCUAUACUAGAAGAAGGAAGAGAUUUGCCAGGAUUGUAGCUAGCAACAGAGAUGGAUGUAAAGAAGAAUACCAAUGUACCAUCUUAUGUUUUCCCCCUUUUUUCAGUCCAUUUCCGUUUGUGACAUUUGCAGAAGGAAGCAUUCAUUUGGGCAUUAGCAUGUCUCAUGUGCUGUGUACAUCCAAGUGGAUGUAGAGGCCGGGUUAUUUAAUCUAUUAUCUUAAAGAUUAGCAAUGUCUCAUUUUUCUUUAAUUAUCGUGAGUGGGAUAUUCCUAAAAGAACAAUUCCAAGCGGUUAGAGCGCAAUCCAUCUAUGCAAUUGGUAUCCAGACAAAGCUAAUUAAUCAGAUGUCUACAGAAUCUGGAUUUGGGGACUAAACCUCGAAUCCAGACAUGAAAUUCGCUUAAUCGGAAGAGGCUGCGACAGCGGAACCCUACAUGGAUCGAUCUCGCCACACGUCCGGAUGGAUUGACAGGCAUACGUGGGGUUGCGCGUACCUGCUACUCUCGGAGUUCGAGCUGCCACCGAGCGCCGGCGUUCCUGCGGAGGGAGCCCGGUCCGCCGGCGUGGGGUCGUCUCUGUCUCUCGGCUUGGCUCUAUCUGGGCUUGAUUAAAUCAGGGGCUAUCAUCCAGUCAAAUAAUGGAAAGAAGUCCACCUUCUCGACUGCUUCCUCAGUUCCC